rnacentral:sRNA from 1 species
AGUGAGGAAGGGUUCGUGUGGUUGGUGUACAGUUCCGGGGCCCCUGGAAUGCAGCAGCCUGCAAGAAACCAGGUUUUCUUCCCAAUAGGGAUGGCCCCGGGGGGUGUCUGUUGGAGACCAGAUGGAUGGGGAACAGGUGGUCAGGGCGGAAUUUCAGGCCCUGGCAGCAUGGGAGCAGGGCAGAGACUGGGGAGUUCAGGUACCCAGAGAUGCUGCUGGGGGAGCCGUUUUGGGAAGGAGGUGGCUCUCAGGAGGGUGCUGCACCCCAGACCAGUCUGCAUGGGCGUCUCUUGCCUGUGCCAGAAGAACGAGGACGAGUGUGCCGUGUGCCGGGACGGCGGGGAGCUCAUCUGCUGUGACGGCUGCCCUCGGGCCUUCCAUCUGGCCUGCCUGUCCCCUCCGCUCCGGGAGAUCCCCAGUGGGACCUGGAGGUGCUCCAGCUGCCUGCAGGCAACAGUCCAGGAGGUGCAGCCCCGGGCAGAGGAGCCCCGGCCUCAGGAGCCACCCGUGGAGACCGCGCUCCCCCCGGGGCUUAGGUCCGUGGGAGAGGAGCCCCGCUGCCAGGGCUGGACUCCUCGGCCCUGCACCCCCUACUGUGUGUGGGCCCUGAGGGGCAGCAGAACCCGGCUCCUGGUGCGCGUUGCGGGGUGUGUGGAGACGGUACGGACGUGCUGCGGUGUACUCACUGCGCUGCCGCCUUCCACUGGCGCUGCCACUUCCCAGCGGGCGCCUCCCAGCCCGGGACGGGCCUGCGCUGCAGAUCCUGCUCAGGAGACGUGACCCUGGCCCCUGUGGAGGGGGUGCUGGCCCCCAGCCCCGCCCACCUGGCCCCUGGGCCUGCCAAGGAUGACACUGCUAGUCACGAGCCCGCUCUGCACAGGGAGGACCUGGAGAGCCUUCUGAGCGAGCACACCUUCGACGGCAUCCUGCAGUGGGCCAUCCAGAGCAUGGCCCGCCCAGCUGCUCCCUUCCCCUCCUGACCCCGGACGGCCGGGACAUGCAGCUCUGAUGGGAGGGUGCCGAGAAGGACAUCUCCUUCCUCAGCCCUGGAAGCCGGCCGGCUGGGAUCAAGAAGGGGACAGCGCCACCUCUUGUCAGUCCUUGGCUGUAAACAGCCCUGUGUUUCUGGGGACACCAGCCAUCAUGUGCCUGGAAAUUAAAACCUGCCCCACCUCUCACUCUGGAAGUCCCCAGGGGCCUCUCCUUGCCUGGUGACCUACUAAAAAUAUAAAAAUUAGCUG